AUUGAACGCUGGCGGCAGGCCUAACACAUGCAAGUCGAACGAGUGGCGGACGGGUGAGUAAUGUCUGGGACACUGCGCGAUAGAGGGGGAUAACUACUGGAAACGGUAGCUAAUACCGCAUACCAUCGGAUGUGCCCAUAUGGGAUUAGAUAGUAGGUGGGGUAACGGCUCACCUAGGCGACGCUCCCUAGCUGGUCUGAGAGGAUGACCAGCCACACUGGAACUGAGACACGGCCCAGACGCCUACGGGAGGCAGCAGUGGGGAAUAUUGCACAAUGGGCGCAAGCCUGAUGCAGCCAUGCCGCGUGUAUGAAGAAGGCCUUAGGGUUGUAAAGUACUUUCGGCAGGAAAGCGGUACCUGCAGAAUAAGCACCGGCUAACUACGUGCCAGCAGCCGCGGUAAUAC
rnacentral:rRNA from 1 species